rnacentral:rRNA from 1 species
AUUGAACGCUGGCGGCAGGCCUAACACAUGCAAGUCGAACGGUAACAGGAAACAGCUUGCUGUUUCGCUGACGGGUGGCGGACGGGUGAGUAAUGUCUGGGAAACUGCCUGAUGGAGGGGGAUAACUACUGGAAACGGUAGCUAAUACCGCAUAACGUCGCAAGACCAAAGAGGGGGACCCUCGGGCCUCUUGCCAUCGGAUGUGCCCAGAUGGGAUUAGCUUGUUGGUGGGGUAACGGCUCACCAAGGCGACGAUCCCUAGCUGGUCUGAGAGGAUGACCAGCCACACUGGAACUGAGACACGGUCCAGACUCCUACGGGAGGCAGCAGUGGGGAAUAUUGCACAAUGGGCGCAAGCCUGAUGCAGCCAUGCCGCGUGUAUGAAGAAGGCCUUCGGGUUGUAAAGUACUUUCAGCGGGGAGGAAGGGAGUAAAGUUAAUACCUUGGCUCAUUGACGUUACCCGCAGAAGAAGCACCGGCUAACUCCGUG